rnacentral:rRNA from 1 species
AUGAACGCUGGCGGCAUGCCUUACACAUGCAAGUCGAACGGCAGCAUGACCUAGCUUGCUAGGUUGAUGGCGAGUGGCGAACGGGUGAGUAAUGCAUCGGAACGUGCCUUUUAGUGGGGGAUAACGUAGCGAAAGUUACGCUAAUACCGCAUAUUCUCUGAGGAGGAAAGCAGGGGACCUUCGGGCCUUGCGCUAGAAGAGCGGCCGAUGUCGGAUUAGCUAGUUGGUGAGGUAAAGGCUCACCAAGGCAACGAUCCGUAGCGGGUCUGAGAGGAUGAUCCGCCACACUGGGACUGAGACACGGCCCAGACUCCUACGGGAGGCAGCAGUGGGGAAUUUUGGACAAAGGGCGCAAGCCUGAUCCAGCCAUGCCGCGUGAGUGAAGAAGGCCUUCGGGUUGUAAAGCUCUUUCGGCUGGGAAGAAAUCGCACCCUCUAAUACAGGGUGUGGAUGACGGUACCAGCAUAAGAAGCACCGGCUAACUACGUG